rnacentral:lncRNA from 10 species
CAAGUGGACAUUUGGAGUGCUUUGAGGUCUAUGGUGGAAAAGGAAAUAUCUUCACAUAAAAACUAGACAGAAGAUUUCUGACAAACUUCUUUGUGAUGUGUGUGUUCAUAUCACUGAGUUGAAACUUUAUAUUGAUUGAGUAGUUUGGAAAAACUCUUUUUGUAGAAUCUGCAAGUGGAGAUUUAGAGUGCUUUGUGGCCUAUGGUAGAAAAGGAAAUACCUUCACAUAAAAUGUAGACAGAAGUAAUAUGAGAAAAUUCUUUGUGAUAUGUGCAUUCAUCUCACAGUGUUAAACAUUGCUUUUGAAUGAGCAUUUUGAAACUCUGUUUUGUAGAAUCUGGAAGUGUACAUUUGGAGUGGUUUGAGGCCU